AACUGUGGAGGCAGCAUUACAUGUGAGCAGUCACUGCACUGUGAAGUGUGCGCUACGACAACAUAUUUCAUCGUACAGAAGUGCGGAUAAUUAAAUAAUGCCACAGCAACCCUGACUCAUUAGCAGAAAGAUCUUUAAGGAGGAAUCAAGAAGAUGGAUCCAAUCAACUUGGAGAGUACUCUUCCUUCUCUGAGAUCUCAAAUAUAUUUUAGUUGGUUGGUGAUUGAUUCAUGCAGGGCUCGAGGACAAAAGCCAGUUUCUCAAAGCCGAAUGCGGAUCUUUUUUAGACGAACAAACUGUAUGUCUUAGAUGAGUUGGAUUUAACAUAAGGCUUAAUGUUUGGAGUCAAAGGUAGAGCGUGCCACCUUGAUGCUCAUUUCCCCUUUUAUCCAUAGAUCUAAGAAAUGCCCAACCCUUAACCUUUCAGUUGGCUUCCUCAACAUGCAUGUAGCCUCUCCUACAUUUUCUAAUGACGGAUGUUCAAGUUCCUUAUUGCUUGAACCAAGUAAGUAUCAUCGUCACAGAAAUAAGCAACUGUACUCAGUGUCUUCCAGGGUCUCCCCCUACUCCAUUUCCUUUGUCUAGGUGCUAUUCUCAGUUUUCAGUGUCCAUUGGUCCUUUAAGGGGGAGCUCCAGGUUUAACUUGAGGGCUAUAAGCAUUGGAAGAAUAAUUCCCAUUGGAUACUGUACAGAGAAGCCACCUGCAAAAUGUUGACGCUGUUAUUGAAGUCUCAAGUGGAGUCAGCUUUCAAAAAAUUAGAUAUUAGAUACAUCCGGCAUAAUUUGCAAUCUGUAAUUAUACUAAUGUGCAUAUAGCUGUGCUUUGCUUUAUCUGUAGCCUACUUGAGUGUGUCCCCAUCACCCCCCAUCCUCGGGCAUGUCUCAUGCUUGGAAUUGCUUGGGAGGAGAGUGCUUUGUAAGUCAGCUUAGGGUUUUUUUUUUAAUUCCUUGUUAAUUAAUACAAGAAUAAAAGGACUUUGCUUCAUGU
rnacentral:lncRNA from 1 species